GUAAGCUAAAGACAGCUGCUGGUUUUUACCAACUAAGGAAACUCCGCCCAUCAUUACAGACUAUGAUGUUUAAAGACAUAUACUGAGAAGUAUGACUCUGGAGCAGAAACGACACGUCUUUUAAUAUAUGACAAUGAUAUUUACUUGAGGAUAUUAAAAGGAUCGGUGAAACGGCCAAUCCAUAGGAUGCAAGAACAAAAUUUGUCGAUGACCUCUGUUUGAGACAAGGUAGUUCGCUAAGAUGAAUGCUGUUAAACAGAAGGUGGGUUACUCUUAGCAGAC
rnacentral:RNase_P_RNA from 1 species